UUGGACAUACCGAUAGAGGAUUCCUUAUCCUCUAUUUAUAAAGGAUAUGAUGAGGCCAUUUCAGAGUUUGUUAGGCUAUUAAGAGAGUCUGUUAGAUAGUUAGAGAGCUACCUAUAAGUGAACUGACGUACAACUGUGCAUAUGAGCUUGACAUAAGAUCAUGGCCAACUGUGAUCUGGUUGAAAAAACUAUUGUGGGCAUUUGCAGAAUAGCCAAGUUCGUCAUAAUAAUAGCUCACCUCGAUAGAAGAUCGGGAUGAAAUAAGGAUGUUGUAACAUUUCAAGAUAGAGAAGACAAGGGUUCAGAUCGGCAUAUACCCGACCUAAACAUCUCUACCAGCAG
rnacentral:lncRNA from 1 species